GCCAGACUCCUACGGGAGGCAGCAGUGAGGAAUAUUGGUCGAUGGGCGGGAGCCUGAACCAGCCAAGUCGCGUGAGGGAAGACGGUCCUACGGAUUGUAAACCUCUUUUGCCGGGGAGCAACGGGGUCCUUGCGAGGGCCCGAUGAGAGUACCCGGAGAAAAAGCAUCGGCUAACUCCGUGCCAGCAGCCGCGGUAAUACGGAGGAUGCGAGCGUUAUCCGGAUUUACUGGGUGUAAAGGGAGCGCAGGCGGCGCGCCAAGUCUGGUGUGAAACCCCGGGGCUCAACCCCGGGACUGCAUUGGAAACUGGCGGGCUGGAGUGUCGGAGGGGCAGGCGGAAUUCCUGGUGUAGCGGUGAAAUGCGUAGAUAUCACGCAGAACCCCGAUUGCGAAGGCAGCAUACCGGCGCCCUACUGACGCUGAGGCACGAAAGUGCGGGUAUCGAACAGGAUUAGAUACCCCAGUA
rnacentral:rRNA from 1 species